rnacentral:tRNA from 2 species
GGUGAUGUAGCUCAGCUGGUUAGAGCACAGCAUUCAUAAUGCUGGGGUCGGUGGUUCAAGUCCACCUAUCACCACCA